GUCACGCAAUAGACUGGAAGAAAGUCGAUUUAGUCUAAGGCAAAGGAAAGGGAUUCUACAGUAAGAACAAUAAGGAUGUGAAAUUCUCUGCCUGGAGAUUUGGUUUUAUCAGUCUGUACAGAUGUUUAAACACAAUCUGGUCAUGCCUUCUCCAUGAUGUUGCAAGAAACCGAGAAGUAAGCAGCACCAAGGAAGACUUGCCACUGGAAAAACAAAAGUAACAAGCAUAUUUGUGUUCUAAUGGGAGAUAGGGACCUGUAUUAACCCCUUAAGGAC